AAUCAACGCUGGCGGCGUGCCUCAGACAUGCAAGUCGAACGCGAAAGCUCCCUUCGGGGAGCAAGUAGAGUGGCGCACGGGUGAGUAACACGUAGGUAAUCUACCUUUGGAUGGGGGAAUAACAACCGGAAACGGUUGCUAAUACCGCAUAAUGCAGCGGCACCUAAUGGUGACAGUUGUUAAAGCGGGGGAUCGCAAGACCUCGCGUCUGAAGAGGAGCCUGCGGCGGAUUAGCUAGUUGGUAAGGUAAAGGCUUACCAAGGCGAUGAUCCGUAGCCGGCCUGAGAGGGCGGUCGGCCACACUGACACUGACAUACGGGUCAGACUCCUACGGGAGGCAGCAGUCGGGAAUUUUGGGCAAUGGGCGAAAGCCUGACCCAGCAACGCCGCGUGAAGGAUGAAAUCCCUCGGGAUGUAAACUUCGCAAGAACGGGAAGAAUAAGCCGGUGUUAACACCAUCGGCGAUGACGGUACUGUUUGUAAGCUCCGGCUAACUCCGUGCUAGCAGCCG
rnacentral:rRNA from 1 species